rnacentral:rRNA from 1 species
UUUAGAGUUUGAUUCCUGGCUCAGGAUGAACGCUAGCGGCAGGCCUAACACAUGCAAGUCGAGGGGCAGCGGGAGCAGCAAUGCUUGCCGGCGACCGGCGCACGGGUGCGUAACGCGUAUGGAACCUGCCCCCCGCUGGGGGAUAGCCCGCUGAAAGGCGGAUUAAUACCCCAUGGCUUCCAUGGACCGCAUGGUCCGUGGAGUAAAGCUUCGGCGGCGGGGGAUGGCCAUGCGUGCCAUUAGCUUGUUGGCNUGGUAACGGCCCACCAAGGCUGCGAUGGCUAGGGGGUCUGAGAGGAUGGUCCCCCACACUGGUACUGAGACACGGACCAGACUCCUACGGGAGGCAGCAGUGAGGAAUAUUGGUCAAUGGGCGGAAGCCUGAACCAGCCAUGCCGCGUGCAGGAUGACGGCCCUACGGGUUGUAAACUGCUUUUAUGCGGGAAGAAUAACCCCCUCGUGAGGGGGGAUGCCGUACCGCAUGAAUAAGAUCGCAA